rnacentral:rRNA from 1 species
AGAGUUUGAUCCUGGCUCAGGACGAACGCUUGCGACGUGCCUAAGAAAUGCAAGUCGAACGAGGUAGCAAUACCUAGUGGCGAACGGUCGCGUAACACGUGGGCAACCUGCCCUAGAGUGGGGGAUAACAUUCCGAAAGGGGUGCUAAUACCGCAUGUGAAUGCUUGAUGGCAUCUUCGAGCAUUCAAAGGAUUUAUUCG